UGAACGCUGGCGGCAGGCCUAACACAUGCAAGUCGAACGGUAACAGGAAGCAGCUUGCUGCUUYGCUGACGAGUGGCGGACGGGUGAGUAAUGUCUGGGAAACUGCCUGAUGGAGGGGGAUAACUACUGGAAACGGUAGCUAAUACCGCAUAACGUCGCAAGACCAAAGAGGGGGACCUUCGGGCCUCUUGCCAUCGGAUGUGCCCAGAUGGGAUUAGCUAGUAGGUGGGGUAACGGCUCACCUAGGCGACGAUCCCUAGCUGGUCUGAGAGGAUGACCAGCCACACUGGAACUGAGACACGGUCCAGACUCCUACGGGAGGCAGCAGUGGGGAAUAUUGCACAAUGGGCGCAAGCCUGAUGCAGCCAUGCCGCGUGUAUGAAGAAGGCCUUCGGGUUGUAAAGUACUUUCAGCGGGGAGGAAGGYGWURAGGUUAAUAACCUYRKCRAUUGACGUUACCCGCAGAAGAAGCACCGGCUAACUCCGUGCC
rnacentral:rRNA from 1 species